rnacentral:lncRNA from 1 species
GUCAUUACUAGGUAAGGAAUACUACCCCCUACUUCGAAAAAGAGGGUAGUAUUCCUAACCUAUUGUUGACUUCACAGUUCAGCUAGCAACUGAAGAUAAUACCUUUAUCUACACUCUCAAUGCAAUCGACUGUAAAGUAAAUCAUAUUUCAUAAAAUUUGUGUUUAAAUCACUUUUUGGUUUUUAAUGUAAAUAUAUAUACCGGUGAUGUUCUCACUUUUAGUUUUUGGCUUGCUUCUAUUUACAUAUUUUCCUGUAGAUAGUUUUCUAACACGAAUAUAUCCUAACUAAUUCAUAGUUACAUGAUGACUCAAAACAAAGAAUACUUAAACUGAGAACAACCAUCAAAGAACCUUAUUGUUUAAGUGUCAAAGAUGUAUAUACUUUUCUGUAUCAGAUAUUUUGUACUUCCAGGUGACAUUUACAUAUAAUCAACUUUUCUACUACAAUAAACCAUUCUUUCAGUGGGAACUAACAUUAUCAAUGUAAUAAUGAGUAAAAAAUACAAAAAUAUGGAGCUGUUAGAUCAUACCUUAGUCUAUAGUCAACUGAUAGUAUCCUAUGACUGAUUAUUAGUAUGUGACCAUUCUUAAGGUUUUCAAAGUAACAACCAUGUUUCACUAGUGGAAUCAGUUCAUGAUACUUGUAUAAUUAUCUGAUUAAAUUGAGACUUGUAUCAUUUCACUUUAAUCUAAUCAUGCACAGCAUGGUCUGAAUUAACUCGAAUAAUUCAAGCCCUUUCCGUGUCCGAUUUUCUCCCACACGAGGGCUUGAACUCCUUGUGAUCAUUGGCCGCGUCGCCUGCUCUCUGUGAGAGAGAGCCAAUCAGCGGCGAUCAGGAUAAUGAGUCUGCGCAACUCUCUUGUAAUUGUCUUACCAAACACGUGUGUUCAAUUAACACAAAUCCGAUAAUAAUUAAUUAACAUCAGUUAACAUCAGUUUACAUCAUUUAACAUCAAUUAACAUCCGGAACUCCUCCUUCUUUAGCUGCCAAUUUAAAUCAAAAUUCCCAUAUUGCAAAGCGGUGUGAAAAUUCCGGUUGACGAUCUUGAUCGAGGAAGACGUUCAGGCGUUAAUGUAGCCUUCGUAGAUCAGCGGAAUAUAACGACUGAAUUAUUCGGGUUAGGUCUGAAUUAGCCAUGACUUGAGAUUUUCUUUUAGUUAUUUUUUCAAGGCAAGAAGACAGGGCAUAUUGCAAUAUUUUGAAAUUGAUAUCUUUUUAUUAAUUACAUUCUUUGGUAAUUUGUAAACUUCACAUUAGUGGAAAUAGAUGUAAAUUGUAAAUUAUCUUAGAACAAACCGUUUAUACUACAGGAUACUGUUAACCAUACAAAGGUUUCCUUUUAGCUAACAUGCAAUAAAAUAUCACUAACAAUACAGCUGGGAAAAUCCAAUAUUAAAUUAAAUGACCAACGAUGGCUGGAAAUUUUUACACUCUUGACAACCAGAGCAACCAAAAUUGUUACUAUUUGACAGCAGCCAUUCAAUGUCACAUUAGUGUAUCAAAAUUAGCUAAAUAAAAAUACCUUGAUCAAUUUCUGUCUUACCACAACCAGAUCUCCGCAAAAGCUUUUCUUUUAAUUCAAUAAUCUGGCAGGCUAUAGUACAUCUGGCAAAGAAAAGAAAAUGGGUAAAAGUAAUAAGAGAAAAACGGUUUUCUAUGAAGAAAACAAUUAUAAGAAUACACAAUAUCUAAUAUUUUAAUUUUUACAAAUGUACUUUAAGAUUAAUAUGUGAUUUGAAAUACAUAUGUAGAAAAGUGAGUUCCAUCUGAAGGAUAAUCUUUUUUGAAUGCAGAUUUACUUUUGAACUAAUGCAUAAAUAUAAAUACUGUUCAUAUUUUCCUAGUUAAAAAGCAAUUCUACAUAUGUGAAACAUUUGAUAAACUCUCUUAACCUUAAAAACAAACAUCAAAUUUCAAGCUGAAUUGGAUAAGUUGAAACAUUUCUCAUAUAUUGAGUUUCAGGUGGAAAAUUGUCAUUUAUAAUGCAUGUUAAAAUUAUAUGGCUGAGCACACAAAAAUAAAUUUGACAUCAUAAGAUAUUUGUAUUUUAAGUGCAAUAUUUCUACCUGAAACCAUCAAUUACAAGAAUUAUUUGAGAUAUUUUCUGUAAUAGAUAAACCCUAUUUUUCAACUUGAAACUAUGAUUCACUUUUAAUGGUAAUUAAAAUUUUAUAUUCUAUUCUUAAAUAUUGAACAGAAUAAGUAAAAUGUAUCACACAUAUUCAAUUAAAUAAAUAAGGUACAUUGUUGAAUGGAAACAGAAUUAGUACGUAUUUCAGCAACAUAACACUGUAUAUACAUGUAAAAGAUAUCCAUUCUGAAGCUUUAGUGAAUACCAUGUAUAUCACAAUUUAAUCUGUACAUUGUUACGUUAUAAAGUGUUUUCAAAUAAACUCAUUUCAG